AAUCGAGCAGUCUUGGCUGCUCGAUUUACACAUCUUGUUGCCUUAAUAGCCAAUUUUUUUCACAGAAAGGGUGGAUCCUCUUCUACAAAAGCCACUUUACGCAGCCACUGUAGUUCCUCCUACAUACCUGCACAGGGAGGAUGAGUGAAUUUCUGUCUGCACAUGGCUCGGCAUCUGAGUCACUCUAACCACAGAACAACAGUCCCGUCAGCUCGCAGUGACCUCUGCUACAUUCAUCAGCCAACGUUACGUGCGCCACACUUGGUGUUAGGAGCCACUGUUGGGCCACCCUAAAGAUGGUCAAUCAUUUACUGGCCCUACCUUGCCUAGCCUUCCUCUCAUGACAAAUCAACAGCAGGUCAACUAACUGUGUCUCCACAAAACUGGACAGCCAACACCCAGCUGGGAACAAUGGCCAAUGUGGCAGAGUCUUCUGAUAAUGCAAGGUGUGUGUAUGUGUGUAAGUAUCACUAUCCCAGGGUGACCAAUGCUCUGAUAUCUCUGCAAAACAGAAUGUGUCUAAC